rnacentral:rRNA from 1 species
UACGAAGGACCCGAGCGUUAUCCGGAUUUAUUGGGUUUAAAGGGUGCGUAGGCGGAUUUAUAAGUCAGUGGUGAAAUCCCUCAGCUCAGCUGAGGAACUGCCAUUGAAACUGUUUAUCUUGAGUACAUUUGAGGCGGGCGGAAUGUGUCAUGUAGAGGUGAAAUUCUUAGAUAUGACACAGAACACCAAUUGCGAAGGCAGCUCGCUAAACUGUAACUGACGCUGAGGCACGAAAGCGUGGGGAUCAAACAGG